GAUGAAAUGCCUGAAAAAGGAUUAUUUUGAUAGAAUAAAACAUGUAUAUUUUUACUUUCAUUG
rnacentral:tRNA from 2 species